rnacentral:lncRNA from 1 species
UAGGAAUAAAGUCGUCAUUGGGUCCUCACCUAACAGUUAUUGGUGCCCAACCCCACCUUUACCCUACAACAUCUCAUGUCUAUAGAGAGGUCCAGUCCUCCAAUGCAACUUGCCUACUGUGUCCAGCCGAGAUAAAUCAACAUCAGAAAGACCUUAGCAGCUCUACUACAGUGGAAGACCUAUUGACUUAAUAUUGGUUAAUCAGGUCUUAAUGUUUGCAACUUGAGCUCUUCAUAAGAGGUAAUCGAACAAUUGGCCAGGUAAGCAGGUGGAAGGCUCCCCUUACUCAGAGAGUAAGGUCCUAAUUAAGUAACCACCUUUCAUGCUUUCUUAGACACCAAUUAGAUCAAUUAAUCUAAUAUGACUCGCUCAUGUUGGUUCACUCUCGACUUGAUUGAGGAGGUUUUAAUUUAGGUCUCAAUUGGGUUUGCUACAUCACAUGUAAACCUAUCUACCCGACUCUCAUUCACAUCACAUGCAAACGGCACAUUGCAGGCAGUUAUAAUCGCAGCAAUAAUUAAAGCUAAACUCUAAAUAGGUGAUGAUCAUGGAUUCCAGUUAGGUCGUAUUACAAGCACAUGCACGUCAAUCGAUCAAGUGGUCUUCAACUCUUGAAUUUGUUCCAAGCCUUCUUGAUUAGAUCCUUGACCAACUCUUGAUCCAAUCGCCAUCAACCACUUAGACCCCUGCUCAUCUCAUGCAUCAUCUUCGACUUGAUCGUUGACGUACAUCACAUCACAGAAAUACAACCAGAUAUAAAAUAAAAAUAAAAAUAAAUUACAUCUCCCUUUUAGGAGGCACG